rnacentral:lncRNA from 1 species
CAAGGAUGGGUAGGCUUACAGUCCCAGUUGGAUUGGGUCAGGAUUAACAUUUCUUACAGUUGGUUAGUGUAGAGCAUGAUAGUGUAGUGUCUUGUAGCUGUAGAUUUUCUUCCAGCAUUUUUCUACUAUUUUUACUCCCUUCUGUAGACUUGUUGGGUGGACCGACGAUAUUGAGGGCGAUACCCACUGAGGACUACUUGUGUUUAUAGUAGUUCUCACGCCCAGUUGUUACUCUUCUUUUGCAGAGCCAUCGGUUCCGACUGCUGCAUCUUCUGAGGCAGAUCGUGGUAAGGGCUUUGCAAGCUAGAGCCCUACCCGACGAGUCACCGAGCUAGAGGAUUACCAGCUGCAGGUAGUGCUAGUUUUUUUGAGUUUCUUAUAUAUACUAGUUGUAUCUCGUUGGGCGAGUUUUUUGAAUACCUGGAUGUAUGUAUGUAUAUGGAACUUGUUCCUAUUUAUACCUGUUUUAUUCGAGGGUUGUAGUACUGUAUAUGUUACAGGUACAGCUACGCUUCGUAUAUAAAAAAAAUUUCUUUGUGUACGGCGGAUUUUUCGGCGUGUCCGGAAAACGUGUAAUUCGGGACGUGACAAAAUGUUUAAAUUGAAUACUACUAAAUUAAUAUUUUCAAAAUAAUGUACAAAUAUACUUAAGUUGUAAUUAAUUUAUUCUAAUACUUAAUUUAUUAAAUCAUAUUUAAUUAUUAUAUUCAAGGGCAAAUUUGUCAUUCUAUUUAAUUUUUAUUUUUUUAAUAUCUUAUUCCAACAUAAACAUCCAAUCACUAUCAAGAAUAUUCUCUAUAAAUAAACCAACAACAACCAAACGUAAUUUACAACUUGUUCUAGUUUAUACUCGAAUAUCUCUUGUUCUCAAAAACAACAAAAAAUAUUCUUCAAAAUUUAGUUCUCAAACCAAACUAAUAUUUCUACAAAUCUUGAAAAGACAAAAAUGAGAGAAAAUAAGAAAAGAGAGCAUAUGGGAGGAACGGAGAAA